UGCCACUAAGGCCAUGAUGGUUGGUUGU
rnacentral:piRNA from 1 species